UACGUAGGGGGCAAGCGUUGUCCGGAUUUAUUGGGCGUAAAGAGCUCGUAGGCGGUUUGGUAAGUCUGGUGUGAAAUCUCCACGCUCAACGUGGAGGGGCCACCCGAUACUGCCAUGACUGGAGUCCGGUAGAGGAGUGUGGAAUUCCCGGUGUAGCGGUGAAAUGCGCAGAUAUCGGGAGGAACACCCGUAGCGAAGGCGGCACUCUGGGCCGGUACUGACGCUGAGGCGCGAAAGCCAGGGGAGCAAACGGG
rnacentral:rRNA from 1 species